rnacentral:rRNA from 1 species
UACGUAGGGGGCAAGCGUUGUUCGGAAUUACUGGGCGUAAAGGGCUCGUAGGCGGCCAACUAAGUCAGACGUGAAAUCCCUCGGCUUAACCGGGGAACUGCGUCUGAUACUGGAUGGCUUGAGUUUGGGAGAGGGAUGCGGAAUUCCAGGUGUAGCGGUGAAAUGCGUAGAUAUCUGGAGGAACACCGGUGGCGAAGGCGGCAUCCUGGACCAACACUGACGCUGAGGAGCGAAAGCCAGGGAGCAAACGGG